UCCCCUUAAUACCCCUCAAACCCCUUUCUUCUCUUUUCAUUUUAAAAGAACCAAACGAUCCCCAAACUUUUUCUCCCAAAAAAUUCAUAGAAAGCAUAAUCCCACACUCCAAAACCACGCGAACCCAGUUGUAUUUGCCAUUUUUGGCUAAGUUGCAGAAGCGUUUUACAUUUUUAAAUUGUUGCCUAUACAAUUCGGGCAGAAACGUUGAAAUGUUUCUUGUCAUCUUCUCACAGAAUGGUAAUAUGCUGACCCAUUUCCUUUCUUCAAUUUGUAUUUCGAUUUUUCUUCAUUUUCGUACGAAGAUUCGGAUUUCAAAGCAAAUAGAAAUGAAUUUCAGGUUUUAAAUCCGUCCCACAUCGAAUUUGAACUUCUCAAAAACCUAGAACUGGCCUUCUAUAAAAAGGGAACCAUUUCUUCAUUCUUGGAAGGAGGUUUUGGACACAACAAAUUGGUUUUUACACCAACAGUUGGCUUUUCAUAGCCACAAAAGGUUUUUUCGAAAACCACAGUGGGUUUUACACUUACAAUGGGUUUUUACACCCUCAAGAGUUUGAACACACUGAAACUCGGCUAAGCCUUGAGUUUCGAGGAAGUUCUUACUCACAGUUAAUUUUUGGUCACAUUUCCGUUCAUCGGAAGCUAGUUUGGUUGAAAGGGUGAUCGGCUCAAUUCUCGUCGCCCCUGUCGCUGCUCGGAAAAAAGGGACUUCUCCAAAUCCCAAAUGUCCAUGAGCUGCUACUGAAAUUGAGUUUCUGCUGUACUUUGAAAUGGAGGAGUAUUGCCACUGCUGCCUGCUGUCAUGUUGCUCUGAAUUGCUGCAACUAGUUGGCUGCACCUGGGAUUUUGAAACUAUUGUUUUGUGUGGUUUGUCAUUGCUCUAUUUUGGUCCCAUGCUUGCUGCAUCUUGAGAUUGGACCUGCUACAUCUUAAAGAGGCUUUUGUUUUGUAUUCUAUAAGAAACAAGUGCUGCACUUUGUGGUUGGCUACUAUAGGGAUGCUCCAUUUGGAGGAUGGUUUGUUGCUGCAUUUUGAGACCUUUUCUAUUGUCUUAUUUUGAUAUACAAUCCUAUGUUGUUGUCUUGUUGCUUUACUGUGGCUGCCUUUGUGGUUGUUUGUUGCUUCAUCAUAUGACUGAGAUGCUGGUGCUACAUUGAUGUGCAUCUGCUAGAUUUUCUUUGCCAAACAGCUGCUGCUUAUGGCUACCUACAACUGCUUUUUGUUGUUUCAUCUCGCUGCUAUCUAGCAGCUGCCAUCUGUGGCUGUUUAUUGCUACUGUUUGUUGUUGCUUGCUGUUGUAUGUUGAUCAUCAGCUGCUACUUUGAUUUUAAAAGAAACGUACAGAUAUUAUACUUGAGCUGACUCUCACAUUUUGUUAUUGAGCUGCAGCCAUGUGUGUGACUAAGUUGUUGCUUUAAAAUGGGCAGAUGCUACACUCUAAUGUUAUGCAGCUGCUAUGGUCAAAUCUUGCUGCACUUGUGAACCAAGUGAUGGAUGUAAUUUGAGGGAAAAACAUAGAAGCUAUAUAUGGGACCAUUGUUGUUGCUUAAUAUAUGGUGUGCUACCUACAGUUGCCUGUGUUGCUACUUUUGGCUGCAAUUUUGCCACUACUGUCUGUGGCUGUUUUACCACUGCUUGUUAUUUUUUCUGAAAAAUAUGAACAGAUUGCUACGCUUGGUGAAAAUCCCAGUGAUUUGAAUAGAUGCUAAAAAGGCCGAUGAAAAAAAUUUAAUUUGAGGCCAUGCCUUGUCCGGAAAGGUUAUCCCCCGGUUUAGGCGAUGAUGACCUCAUAGUAGUAUCACGAGGUAGGAACGAACAUGCGUUUUGCGAGGCAACUAGAAUGGCCACUAGUCUGCAACCAAGACAUGUUUCGGAUUCCUUCGCCACAUUCGGAAACAUGAGCCUGAGCCUCUGUAAUCAAAGCUCUCAAAGUUUGAUACAAGUCCGAGGGAUAUUAUUAUUAUGUUCAUAAACGUCACCCUAUGGGAUGGCGUACCAUUUUGACUAACUACUUUUCUCUUCAUUGUGCGAGGUACAAAUAGAACAAGUACGGAGAGCAAAGCUUAAAGACGAAGUAAAAAGGAUCGGGUGCUUAGAGCUUCGGACGAAGAACUAGAAGAGCAUGGGAUUUGGUCCCUAGGCUGAAAAAGCUAAAUAUUCUUCCCUUUCCUUUAUUUUGGAUAAACAUGCUUAUUUUAUAUGUUUACAUUCAUUUUUUAUGAACAUGUAUAUACUUGCAAAUACUUGUGUAUUGUUGAAACCCUUUAGAACUUAGUUAAAACCUUGCAUAAAAAAAAAUGAUUCAAGUUGUUUUCAAAAACUGUUUUGGGCCUUGGCCCGCAUAAAGAUAAUAAAAUAAAAGAAAUCCCAUUUAAACCCAAGUUGGGGAAGAUGGCUUCAAUAUGGAAUAUGGUUGACCUUAAAUGAGCUAAAAUGGUUAAAUAAGUUAAAUCCUUUUCUUUAUUUAUACUUAUAAUAUUUAUGCUAUUUUCUAAAAAAGGGAGAUAUACUCCAUUUUUUCCUAUAUAUAUAUAUAACUUACAAGGAUAGAAUCAUGACAUUGGACCAAAUUAGUGGAAACUUCACGUAAGAAAAAUCUUAAGUGUGUUUUGGUCCGGAAAUGAAGUGAAUUUAAUUCAUUAUAAACAUUUUCUCAAAGAAAAUUCAACUUUUCUUCCUUAAAAGAUAAUUUUUCCAAAAAGUGGAGUUUUAUGAUUAGCAUGGCAGUUUUAGAAAUAAAGUAAACAUUUUUAGCAAAUAAUCACAUUAAUCACACAUUGAAGCUCGUUGGUCAACCGUAUUCUACGGAUCCUUAAUACUAGGGUGCUUAAAACCUUCCUUAGGAAAUCACCAGAACCCUUACCUCGAACUCCGGUUUAAAAGGAUUUUUCUCUUGUUUGAUAAAUCCUUUUUACUUGGUUUUCCUAAUUUCCGUUAUAAAAUUAUGUGGCAACUCUAAAAACAUAAAAUUCAAAUAGAGUCCACAACCUCUUAGUAGCUUUUAUGCGCCCGCAUAAAAGUGAACCGUAACACACACAUCCUCCAAAUAAGUUGUCUUUACGCUCUGCUUCUUGCUUACCUUAGUGGUAAAUUUCACAGGCGAAGUGUUAAUGUUCAUGGAUUCUUGAUUUUCGAUCUUGGGCAAAAAAAUUCCCACUUUCUUUAUUUCUUGUUUGACUUUAGCCUUGCGAGAUUCGCGGACAGGCGGUCCUUUAUUUUUUACUAACACUUUGCUUAAAUCCAUGUCAUGAGCAUGAGUGGACAAUUCUUCAAAAGUCCUAGGCUUUACGCCUUGCAAGAUAUAGCGGAGACCCUAGUGCAUACCUUGAAUGCACAUCUCUAUUCCUGAAUGCACAUCUCUAUUCCUAAAGCUUCACUAAGUCUAUCUUUGUUGUUUAGACUUGCAUGACUCCAUCGGUCAAUGAAGUUAAUAACUGGUUCUUCUUUCCAUUGACAUGUAUUUGUAAGUUCCAUCAUGCUUAUGGUGCAUCUUAUCUUUGUAGAAGUGAUUGAGAAAUUCUUACUCAAUUUGCUCCCAACUAUCAACGGAACCAGACUCAAGGUGAAUGUACCGGUCAAAAGCAUAACCUUUAAGGUAAUGAACAAACUGUUUGGAAACGUAAUCACAAUAUAUUCCAGUGUUCUUUGCACAUGUCAAUGAAUUGUACGACAUAUUGCUUCAGAUUUCCCUUGCCAUCAAACUGCUGGGAUUUCGGGAGUUGAUAACAGAUAGGGAAUUUCAACUGGUAGUGUACAGCUUUGCAUAUGAAGGGAGGAUUUUGGGGAAACCUGGUACUUAUUCUUGAUGGUCCCCAUGAUGAACUCCUUUAUGUGAUCGAUUGAAAUUGUCCUAGAGGAAACUUAGAUUUCCUUAGCAUGUUACACUUGUUUUUCGGGAGAAUUAAUCCUUUCUUGUGCUUGAAGACGCUUUCCAGAUGCAUGACUGGAUUCUUCUUCCAUCAGGCCUUCCAUCUUGUUCGUUAAAUUAACGAUUAGAGCAUCUUGAUCUUGCACAUAUUUAGUCAAACCUUUAAUAGCUCUGGUCAAGCUCACAAGUUGUUCCUCUACUAACGAAGCAUUGGUAAUCAUUGCAUGCAUCACUAUCGUAGAUGAUGGAGAACAACAUGGAUUCUCUCGAACAUGGGAUGCAGACAUGUUAUGCGGAGUACAUCCAGUGCCUAAGACAUCAUCAUCAGCUUGCGUGAGGAUUUCUUGGACAUAGAUAAACUAAAUCGGGCAAGAAACGUCUCAACCAUUUCGGCGACUUCAUCCCCUUCUUCUGUUGUGUUUGCGAAACAUCUCAUUCCUUUUUAAGAUAAACCGAAGACAACAAUUGAUUCAGACUGCGCUUGCUGAGCUCGUUGUCCUAGCAAUUUGGCUUGGUUCCUACUGACUGGUCCCAUGCUCCCCUCAGUAAUAUAAUCGAAUUUAUUGCUCAA